rnacentral:lncRNA from 1 species
GGCAGGAGCAGAGGAAAAUUUAGGGCUUCCCUGCCCUUGCUCAGAGCGGGCUGUGGCUGCACGGGCUGCCAGGGCUGAGCCGGGCUGGCUCUGACAAGGGGGGACGGGACACACAGGCACCCACUCGCUGUCACCGCAUCCCCCAAAACCAGGGAGAAACACCCGAGCGGGACCCGGAUCCCUCUCCCAUGCAGGCCACAGAGGUUUGCCGGCCGGCACGUAGAGAGUUAAGCGUCCCCGUCUCCCUCACACUUGAGACGUCACCGUCACCAGUGGCGUGGGGGGGGGGGGGGGGGGGGGGGGGGGGGCGGGGGGGCUAUGGUGGUCUUUGUGGUGCAUUCGGCAGCUGGCGCAGGGCGGCUCACGCACACGGCGGGCGGCUCUUCCCCGACACCCCACGCUCCGGCAGCAUCCGCAGACAACCGGCAGCGGCCACCGCCUGCCCACGCCUCGAGCUCCCCACCACCGCCACGGUCCCCGCCAGCCCAUGAAGUGAUUCGGGUGGGUGGCACAGCCCCUGCUCCUGCCAUAGCCGCCGCCGCUGCACCGGGCACCGAGGUAAGAACCCAGGGCUGUGGCUGUGGGGUGGGUGGGAUGCUCCGGCGCGGGCACCAGACCCCCAAACCGGGUCCGUGGGGCAGAAAUCCCAGUUGGGGUCUUCCCCUGUCCGUGGGGGAUACCCAGCCCCAUCACCUGGGGGAACUGGCAUGACCCUGUGGGGGUCACCUGGGGCAGACCCCCCCGUCCCCCGGCCGAGCAUGGGGGGGGGGUCAGGGCAGAGGAACUAGGGUGCCUCGGGGGAGGCGGCGAGGCCAGGGGUGACCACAGGAAGCGUGACGGUCACGAACCCGCGCCCCGCUUCCCUCCCCGCCUCGGCAAACGGCAGCGGCAGAAGUGCCGGGGGGAGAGCCGCCGCGUUUUGGCAGAUGCUCGCACCCGUGCACCUCGGCUGGGGAGGGUUGGGGCUGGGGACAGCGGGGCUGUGGGGUGCAGAGCCCGGCAGGACGGGUGCAGGUAGGUGCCACGGAAGCAGCGGUGGGGGCUCGGGUGUGCCGGGGUGUCCGGCCGGCGGCACCGGUGCUGUUCCACUCU